UAGCGAGACUGCCGGUAAUAAACCGGAGGAAGUGGGGAUGACGUCAAAUCAUCAUGCCCCUUAUGACCUGGGCUACACACGUGCUACAAUGGUUGGUACAACGAGUUGCGAGUCGGUGACGGCGAGCUAAUCUCUUAAAGCCAAUCUCAGUUCGGAUUGUAGGCUGCAACUCGCCUACAUGAAGUCGGAAUCGCUAGUAAUCGCGGAUCAGCACGCCGCGGUGAAUACGGUUCCCGGGCCUU
rnacentral:rRNA from 1 species